rnacentral:rRNA from 1 species
GCAGGGGAUCUUGGGCAAUGGGCGAAAGCCUGACCCAGCGACGCCGCGUGGGGGAAGAAGGCCUUCGGGUCGUAAACCCCUUUUCCGGGGGAAGAGAGCGGACGGUACCCCGGGAAGAAGUCCCGGCCAACUACGUGCCAGCAGCCGCGGUAAGACGUAGGGGGCAAGCGUUACCCGGAAUCACUGGGCGUAAAGGGCGAGUAGGCGGCAGGGUGCAUCGCGGGAAAAAGCUUCCGGCUCAACCGGGAGAACCCCUGCGAGAUGGCCAAGCUAGAGGGCAGCAGAGGCGGGUGGAAUUCCCGGCGGAGCGGUGAUAUGCGUAGAGUUCGGGAGGAACACCAGUGGCGAAGGCGACCCGCUGGGCUGUCCCUGACGCUGAGGAGCGAAAGCGUGGGGAGCAAACAGG